rnacentral:rRNA from 1 species
GACGAACGCUGGCGGCGUGCCUAAUACAUGCAAGUAGAACGCUGAAGAGAGGAGCUUGCUCUUCUUGGAUGAGUUGCGAACGGGUGAGUAACGCGUAGGUAACCUGCCUUGUAGCGGGGGAUAACUAUUGGAAACGAUAGCUAAUACCGCAUAACAAUGGAUGACACAUGUCAUUUAUUUGAAAGGGGCAAUUGCUCCACUACAAGAUGGACCUGCGUUGUAUUAGCUAGUAGGUGAGGUAAUGGCUCACCUAGGCGACGACACAUAGCCGACUUGAGAGGGUGAUCGGCCACACUGGGACUGAGACACGGCCCAGACUCCUACGGGAGGCAGCAGUAGGGAAUCUUCGGCAAUGGGGGCAACCCUGACCGAGCAACGCCGCGUGAGUGAAGAAGGUUUUCGGGUCGUAAAGCUCUGUUGUAAGUCAAGAACGGGUGUGAGAGUGGAAAGUUCACACUGUGACGGUAGCUUACCAGAAAGGGACGGCUAACUACGUG